UGGGGAAUAUUGGACAAUGGGCGCAAGCCUGAUCCAGCAAUGCCGCGUGUGUGAAGCAGGCCUUCGGGUUGUAAAGCACUUUUAUCAGGAGCGAAAUACUACGGGUUAAUAACCCGUGGGGCUGACGGUACCUGAGGAAUAAGCACCGGCUAACUUCGUGCCAGCAGCCGCGGUAAUACGAAGGGUGCAAGCGUUAAUCGGAAUUACUGGGCGUAAAGGGCUCGUAGGCGGCCAACUAAGUCAUACGUGAAAUCCCUCGGCUUAACCGGGGAACUGCGUCUGAUACUGGAUGGCUUGAGUUCGGGAGAGGGAUGCGGAAUUCCAGGUGUAGCGGUGAAAUGCGUAGAUAUCUGGAGGAACACCGGUGGCGAAGGCGGCAUUCUGGACCGAUACUGACGCUGAUGAGCGAAAGCCAGGGGAGCAAAC
rnacentral:rRNA from 1 species